AGCUUUAUAGUCAAUAAUGAUAUUAGACUGCAAUUCUAAAGGAAUAAUUAAAAUUAUUAAAGCUU
rnacentral:tRNA from 1 species